GAUGAACGCUGGCGGCGUGCCUAAUACAUGCAAGUCGAGCGAACAGACGAGGAGCUUGCUCCUCUGACGUUAGCGGCGGACGGGUGAGUAACACGUGGAUAACCUACCUAUAAGACUGGGAUAACUUCGGGAAACCGGAGCUAAUACCGGAUAAUAUAUUGAACCGCAUGGUUCAAUAGUGAAAGACGGUUUUGCUGUCACUUAUAGAUGGAUCCGCGCCGCAUUAGCUAGUUGGUAAGGUAACGGCUUACCAAGGCAACGAUGCGUAGCCGACCUGAGAGGGUGAUCGGCCACACUGGAACUGGGACACGGUCCAGACUCCUAAGGGAGGCAGCAGUAGGGAAUCUUCCGCAAUGGGCGAAAGCUUGACGGAGCAACGCCGCGUGAGUGAUGAAGGUCUUCGGAUCGUAAAACUCUGUUAUUAGGGAAGAACAAAUGUGUAAGUACCUAUGCACGUCUUGACGGUACCUAAUCAGAAAGCCACGGCUAACUACGUG
rnacentral:rRNA from 1 species